AUUCUGCCAGCUCGUUGCCUUCUUAAUAAUAUGGAGACUUCUAGGGCUACUCGUGGAGACCCCGCAGAAUUACAGUUGCUGUGACCGACUACUGCAAAUGCUUAUCGUCUUCCUGCUUUGAAUAGGCCUGUUUACUCGGAAAUUUAUCGGCACAUUCACUCGAUUCAUAACCAAAUAGCCAGUACUUCCUCCUCCACUCUAAUUUUCCUUUUCAAGCGAAAUUUGACUAAGUUGAUGAGGGCUUGGACAAAGGGGCAGGUAUCUCUAUUCAGUCCUUUCAAUCUGGUUGACCACACUACCUCUUUCGCUAAGGCCACCGACAGAUAAAUACUGCCUGUCCUUCCUGGCCAAAGGAAGACGGCGAAACGAUCUUCACAGUGGACUUAGCCGAUAGUCGGUUUCGUCCUACAUGCAACCCACAAGUCAGCAAUGUUCGAGCACUAGACUAGUGCACACAGAACGUCGUUCUUAAGCGUAACAUGGGCAGACCCGACUGAACCCAGACAUAAACUCCGAUAGCACCGCCUGGCAGAGAUUUUUGUAAUUCAUGGACCCCGGCCUAAAAGUCCACUGACCAUUCUAGUCGACGCCCAGAAUUUUCUCCGAGAAUAUCAUUGCUCUUGCCCGUCAUUCAACGCCGAAGUGGAACUUCACCGACCGCAUUGCCCAACUAGAGAUAAUAGUAAUAAUCCUUUCUACUAAGGCAUAAGGUCUGAAAUUUGGUGGGGAGGGGACUAAUCGUCUUAGUGUUUCACUGGUACUUAAUUUAUCGGCCCCGAAAGGAUGUUGUGAUUUGUUUUUACGACACAGACUAUAAAAAAAAAAAUCCCCUCCCCACCUCAAAAAACCUCUCACGAAUUCAUUCAAAGCCAAUAAACAAAUACAUCAUUUCAGCUAAUAACGUGAAUGAAAAAGCCAAGGAUUUACUAUGGAAAAGUGUAUAAUUUCCGUACAUGUAAAGUAGUUUUAAUGGUCGAGUAUUAGUCUCUGAAUAAAGAGACUAGGAAUGUAGCUUCGCGUUUAUUUUAUGGCUUAGGUGGUCAGUAAAUCGGUUGUUGUUGUUGUGUUUGAGGUCAGAGGUCAGGUGCGCACGCAUAUUAUAUGUAUUCAUAUAUAUAUCUGUAUAUAUUUACAUUUACAUAGCCAUACAUACAUAAAUAUAUAUAUAUAUAUACACACACACACGCACACAUACAUAUCCAUCCAUAUAUAUACUUGAUGCUAAACUGUUGAUUGUAGUUCCUUGUCACCUAGCCAGCAUUUUGCGAAGUCGUUCAUUUCAAUUUAAAUCUUUCAUCUCCAUCGUAGGUUUUCACGCACGAAAUAGUUUUUUUUAGAAUGAAUUUCGUCAUUCCUACUUGCCAAUUAUUAUUAUUUCAAUUCUAAAAACCAAGAAAACGUACCACCCCUCUCUCUCUGCUCUACUCUUCAUUUAUUCAAAAUAAGAAAAUACCAAUAAUGUUAAAAUUCCGAAGUACUACUGACGCGAAAUUGAAGAAGAUUAAAAGAAUGAGAUUUGACUUGUAUAACUUCGUAAGUUUUAUUAUUGUUGUAAAUUAUUACUUUGUACAUUUAUCUGUGUCUGUGUGUACAUAUAUAUAUACAUAUACACGUGUGUGUAUAUAUGUGUACAUAUAUACAUAAGCACGUGUGUGUACAUAGACAUAAGCACUUGUGUAUAUAUACAUAUACACAUGUAUAUAUAUAUAUGUGUGUGUGUGUGUGUACGUAUAUAUACGUGUGUGUAUAUAUUUAUAUCAGUAAACAGUUGUUGAAUGUCAAAUAUAUUUGUGUUGGUAUACACGCAAAUGUAUUUAUACAAUCACAUUUCUGUGUUUAUAUACACGUGUUUACACUCGCGCGCACACAUACACACACUCUACUGUUUAUAUAAAUGCACACUUGUUAUUGUCUCCAUGCAGAGGCGGACUGAGCUGUAUGUCAAUCUUGCACUGCCCGAGGGCCCAGGGCUCUGAGGGGUUCGCAUCCACAUGUUAACUCUCUUUGAUAUCAAUGCUAAGGGGGCCCCCGAUGAACAGUUUAUGCUCGAGGGCUCGUGAUACUCUCCACGUGCCAUCAAAGUUUACAACGCUAAUU
rnacentral:lncRNA from 1 species